CGUGUAGGCGGCCAGGUAGGUCCGUCGUGAAAACUCGAGGCUUAACCUCGAGACGCCGGCGGAAACCAUCUGGCUAGAGUCCGGAAGAGGAGAGUGGAAUUCCCGGUGUAGCGGUGAAAUGCGCAGAUAUCGGGAAGAACACCCGUGGCGAAGGCGGCUCUCUGGGACGGUACUGACGCUGAGACGCGAAAGCGUGGGGAGCAAACA
rnacentral:rRNA from 1 species